ensembl:lncRNA
GUGAAGUUCAGUCCGGGGACGAGGAGUAAAUCUGAAAUCACAGACCAACAGGUGAAGUUAACAGGAGGGGUGAGGUAUGAGGGGACAGCUCCUGAAAUCACGUUUCUUUCGGAUAAUCUCCCUCCUCUGCUUGGGAAGUCUGCUCGUCUCUCUUAUCUGGUACAAAAAUAAUGGAGAACCAAAUCGACUCCCUCCUCAGAAGAAAAAUCCCUCUCAACUCUCUGAACCUUGUAAAGGCUGCUCGAAGGUUACGGACAAAGUAGCAGAGAGUAAUGCUGAAUUGUCAAAGAAGCAAGAAGACAAACCAAAUAAAAUCAGGGAGGGCAACGACAAAGCAGUCGAGCAAAACUCUAAAAUCUCAAAGAAGCAAGAGAACAAACCCCAAAAAGUCAAGGAGGGCAAUGACAAAGCAGUAGAGCAAAACUCUAAAAUCUCAAAGAAGCAAGAGAACAAUCUCC